rnacentral:misc_RNA from 1 species
AUAUUUCAAUUUACCAUGGUCCAGGUAAUCAAACCUUUUGUUUGAGAUUGUCAUCUCACAUAUGGAGAUAAAAUGGGAUCAGCAUUUAUUUUAAUAGACUGAAAGAUAGCAUUCUAUCACGAAUGAUUAAAACAAACAUAGGCCAUAGUGAAUAUUUUAUUAAUUAAUAUUAUGGAGUAUUUUAUAUUGACUAUAGUCUUUAGAGUUGCAGUACUUGUAAUGACACUUGUGUGGUGGAAAAAUUUGAGAUUCAUUAUUAAGAAACUGAAUGAAAGUUCUUGAAUGUUUGCAUAUAAAAUUGGAAGUAGUUCUAAUUCUUAAUUCUAACUGUAUUCUUCUAGAGCCAUGCUUCAUUCAAGGCUGGUCAUUAGUUUUAUUGCUAAGCUGGUGAGCUCUAUAAUAUUUAUGUACAAGUUUUGAGGGGAUCAAAUUUGUUGAACUA